CUGCACCAAGUUACAUUCCCACCAACAGUCUUAUAGCAUUUAUUGUCUGUAGAUUUUUUUAAUGACAUCCAUUCUGAUGAAUGUGAGGUGAUAACCUCACUGUAGUGUUCGAUUUGCAUUUGUCUAAUAAUUAGUGAUAUUAGACAUCUUUUCAUGUGUUUGUU